AAAAAAAAAAUAAUAAAUUAAAAAGAUAAACGGCUUGGAUUUGGCUCAUUUAAACCAGAUUGGCGUAUAAAUUGAGCUCAUGUGCAAAUUAGUUUCGCUUAUGAGCUAAAGCUUGACCUACAUACCCAUUAAUUAUGAUUUUAUGUGGAAUUUAAUGUAAAACAGUUAUGUUAUAAAGCAUCUACAUGUUUUUCUUAUAUGCUAAAUGUGAAUUAGUCUACCUAAGAGUAUUCAAAUAGGGAGUGGGGGAAUUGAAAUAGUAUGGGAUAUGCAAGCCAUGAUUUGCCCCAAAACCUUCAUGUACAGAGGUGGGAUGAAUAUUAUCUAUGAAUAUAUAAGGGUUCAUCAAACAGUUUAAUGUUGGAGAUGUUAUCAAGAUCCUAGAUUGAUUAUGGAUGAGAUUACUCUUCUUUAUUAUUUGGAGAGAUUGCUCUUUAGGCUUUAAGCAAUUAAUCAGAGAUAAAAGGCCAGGUUGAUUUGUAAGUGAUUAA
rnacentral:misc_RNA from 1 species